GAGCCGCCGCAGCUCAGCGAACGCUCCGUUUACGUUCUGCUGCCGCCAGCGCUCCCGGCUGUUGGUGGAGACCCGACGGACCGUCCGCUGACGAGAACCUGAGGAGGGAGGAGAGAGGAGGAGGAGGAGGAGGGUCAGCUGGAGUCAGGGAGACCACACCUGAGGACACCUGGCUGUCAUGCAGGAAAGCACGAAGAAGAAAAGAGCAGACAGGAAAUGCAAAUAAACUUUGUGUAGAAGACUGAUGAAGACUGCUUCAAUCAGUGUUUUCCCCUAUGGAGUCUGGCCUGCGCCACCUCAGCGUGAUGAGUCACGUGUUUAACUGGCAACCCAAUGGGCUUAUUCAGACACGCUGACACGUCUGUUUGAAUGCUCCGUUCACGUGUUGUGUGGGUUUAAACGCGUCUUACCGGCACUGAGGUUCAUCUCGUCUGGAGUCGCUCUUUGUUUCAUGGAGACGCAUCGGUGUGGUCCUCUGCAGGCAGACAGACAGGCAGACAGACAGACAGACAGGGACCUGUUGCUGUUGUCAUCGUCUCUCUCUUGGGGCCGUCUGAUUGGCUGAGAUGUUUAUCAGUCAUCAGCUCCACGCCCACUCAUCAUUGGCUUGUUACAGUGACAGGCCACGCCCCCUCCUGACCUCAUAACCCUCCUAUUAGUGCUGAUGUGUGAUAUCUGUGAUCCUGACAGACCACACUGUGGGAAAACAGCCUGCCGACGCUCACACAGGAUGAGGAAGAGGAUGAAGAUGAGUUAUCACUGAGGGUCACGUGAUGAUCGAUCGGCUCAGGAGCCUUUAAUCAGACGUGAGGCCCACCUGCAUGUUUCUGGUGUCGUUUCAACGGGAAGAAGCGAGGAAGAAGAAUCCGUCGUACACAAAAGCGUUUCUGAGA